rnacentral:rRNA from 1 species
UCCCACCAAAAUUGAACAAAAAUAAAAAAUUAUGGGGGUGAAGCACUAUUUUAGUGUGGGACGUGAGAGCGUACCAAAUUGAGGCAAACUCUGAAUACUAUAUAUGACCUCAAAAUGAUAGGUGUCAAGAUUGGCCAGUGAGACAACGAGGGAUAAGCUUCAUUGUCAAUAAAGAAACAGCUCGGAUCACCAACUAAGGCCCCUAAAUGACCAGUCAGUUAUAAAGGAGGUAGGGGUGCAGAGACAGCCAAUAGGUUUGCCUAGAAGCAAGUAGCAACCACCUUUGAAAGAAUGCGUAAUAGCUCACUGAUCUCUUAUGUCGAAUAUGAACGGGGGUGGGCAAUCUGCCGAAGCUAUAAGAUGUAAAAAUGCAUUAGUAGGGGAGCUUUUCGCCUAGAGGGAAGCAUCCGAGCGAGCGGCAGUGGACGAAGUGGAAGCC